AGUGAACGCUGGCGGUAGGCCUAACACAUGCAAGUCGAACGGCAGCACAGGAGAGCUUGCUCUCUGGGUGGCGAGUGGCGGACGGGUGAGGAAUACAUCGGAAUCUGCCCAGUCGUGGGGGAUAACGUAGGGAAACUUACGCUAAUACCGCAUACGACCUUCGGGUGAAAGAGGGGGAUCGCAAGACCUCUCGCGAUUGGAUGAGCCGAUGUCGGAUUAGCUAGUUGGCGGGGUAAUGGCCCACCAAGGCGACGAUCCGUAGCUGGUCUGAGAGGAUGAUCAGCCACACUGGAACUGAGACACGGUCCAGACUCCUACGGGAGGCAGCAGUGGGGAAUAUUGGACAAUGGGCGCAAGCCUGAUCCAGCCAUACCACGUGGGUGAAGAAGGCCUUCGGGUUGUAAAGCCCUUUUGUUGGGAAAGAAAUCUUUCAGGCUAAUACCCUGGGAGGAUGACGGUACCCAAAGAAUAAGCACCGGCUAACUUCGUG
rnacentral:rRNA from 1 species